CAACAGGGAUUGCCUUAGUAACGGCGAGUGAAGCGGCAACAGCUCAAAUUUGAAAUCUGCGCCCCAGGCCCGAGUUGUAAUUUGCAGAGGAUGCUUUUGGCGCGGUGCCUUCCGAGUUCCCUGGAACGGGACGCCAUAGAGGGUGAGAGCCCCGUCUGGUUGGAUACCAAGCCUUUGUAAAGCUCCUUCGACGAGUCGAGUAGUUUGGGAAUGCUGCUCUAAAUGGGAGGUAUAUGUCUUCUAAAGCUAAAUACCGGCCAGAGACCGAUAGCGCACAAGUAGAGUGAUCGAAAGAUGAAAAGCACUUUGGAAAGAGAGUUAAACAGCACGUGAAAUUGUUAAAAGGGAAGCGUUUAUGACCAGACUUGGGCCGGUUAAUCAUCCAGCGUUCUCGCUGGUGCACUUUGCCGGUCCAGGCCAGCAUCAGUUCGCUGCGGGGGAUAAAGGCGUCGGGAAUGUGGCUCCUCCGGAGUGUUAUAGCCCUUCGCGCAAUACCCUGCGGUGGACUGAGGUUCGCGCAUCUGCAAGGAUGCUGGCGUAAUGGUCAUCAACGACCCGUCUUGAAACACGGACCAAGGAGUCGUCUUCGUAUGCGAGUGUUCGGGUGUAAAACCCCUACGCGUAAUGAAAGUGAACGCAGGUGAGAGCUUCGGCGCAUCAUCGACCGAUCCUGAUGUUCUCGGAUGGAUUUGAGUAAGAGCAUACGGGGCCGGACCCGAAAGAAGGUGAACUAUGCCUGUAUAGGGUGAAGCCAGAGGAAACUCUGGUGGAGGCUCGCAGCGGUUCUGACGUGCAAAUCGAUCGUCAAAUAUGGGCAUGGGGGCGAAAGACUAAUCG
rnacentral:rRNA from 1 species